AACGCACAUUGCGCCCUGUGGUAUUCCGCAGGGCAUGCCCGUUCGAGCGUCAUUAUCGUCAAUCAAGCCUGGCUUGGUCAUGGGCGCCGCGGUAGUCGAAGACACGCCGUGCGCCUUAAAGUUCGUCCCGGCCGCGUGGUCCGCCCGAGAGCGUUGUGGAAACAGUUCGCUCCCCCCGGCGCGGGCUCCGGCCGUCGUCGUGGCGUUUCUGCCGCGAGACCCAUAUUUUUACACGUUGACCUCGGAUCGGGUAGGGAUACCCGCUGAACUUAA
rnacentral:misc_RNA from 1 species